AUUGAACGCUGGCGGCAUGCCUUACACAUGCAAGUCGAACGGCAGCAUGAUCUAGCUUGCUAGAUUGAUGGCGAGUGGCGAACGGGUGAGUAAUACAUCGGAACGUGCCCUGUAGUGGGGGAUAACUAGUCGAAAGAUUAGCUAAUACCGCAUACGACCUGAGGGUGAAAGUGGGGGACCGCAAGGCCUCAUGCUAUAGGAGCGGCCGAUGUCUGAUUAGCUAGUUGGUGAGGUAAAGGCUCACCAAGGCGACGAUCAGUAGCUGGUCUGAGAGGACGAUCAGCCACACUGGGACUGAGACACGGCACAGACUCCUACGGGAGGCAGCAGUGGGGAAUUUUGGACAAUGGGGGCAACCCUGAUCCAGCAAUGCCGCGUGUGUGAAGAGGGCCUUCGGGUUGUAAAGCACUUUUGUCCGGAAAGAAAUCGCACUUACUAAUAUUAGGUGUGGAUGACGGUACCGGAAGAAUAAGGACCGGCUAACUACGUGCCAGCCGCCGCCGUAAGAC
rnacentral:rRNA from 1 species